GGUUGUGCUCUUUUUUUAUGCUGUUGCUGGUUGUUAAGAUGGUUUCUUUCUAGGUUUUUCACUGUUUGUAGAUGACAUCUUAUAACAGAGGCAACUGAAUUAAAGACAUCUCAUCUGGUAAAUGAUGACAGUGCGUUGACAGAAGUUUCAGGACCAGUACAGAAGAAAAUAUCAUUUGGAAGUUCUGGGAAAAUGGCAGAAUAUGUGCAGACAGGCGUGUGAAAUUUUGCUUUUGUAAUUUUUAGAGAAAUUGUGAAGAGCCUUUAAUGUCUUCAGAAGUGCAGUUAUGUUAGGAAAACUGUACCUUCAGUUCAUUUAUACAGUCACAUCAGAGUGAG
ensembl:lncRNA